CAGGCACCACCCAGGGAUCAUUUCUAUAGGUCAAUUCUAGAGAAGUCUCUCUGAAUGUGUAGAGCACAGGAAACCAGGAAGAGGAGGAGCAAGGUUCUCUCUUGAGCGUGAAGUCGGCUCUUGGCGUUGCUUUACUGCAGUUGCCACUUGCCAUUGAUAAUCAUUCUCCCGCUUUGGGGGAGUAAAAGGGAGAGAAUGCAGUCUGAGUGGU